UGUGCCAGCAGCCGCGGUAAAACCAGCACCUCAAGUGGUCAGGAUGAUUAUUGGGCCUAAAGCAUCCGUAGCUCGUUUUGUAAGUUUUCGGUUAAAUCCAUACACUUAACGUAUGGGCUGCCGGGAAUACUGCAUAACUAGGAAGUGGGAGAGGUAGACGGUACUCGGUAGGAAGGGGUAAAAUCCUUUGAUCUAUUGAUGACCACCUGUGGCGAAGGCGGUCUACCAGAACACGUUCGACGGUGAGGGAUGAAAGCUGGGGGAGCAAACCGGAUUAGAUACCCGGGUAGUCCCAGCUGUAAACUAUGCAAACUCAGUGAUGCAUUGGCUUGUGGCCAAUGCAGUGCUGCAGGGAAGCCGUUAAGUUUGCCGCCUGGGAAGUACGUACGCAAGUAUGAAACUUAAAGGAAUUGGCGGGGGAGCACCACAAGGGGUGAAGCCUGCGGUUCAAUUGGAGUCAACGCCAGAAAUCUUACCCGGAGAGACAGCAGAAUGAAGGUCAAGCUGAAGACUUUACCAGACAAGCUGAGAGGUGGUGCAUGGCCGUCGCCAGUUCGUGCCGUGAGAUGUCCUGUUAAGUCAGGUAACGAGUGAGAUCCCUGCCUCUAGUUGCCACCAUUACUCUCAGGAGUAGUGGGGCGAAUUAGCGGGACCGCCGCAGUUAAUGCGGAGGAAGGAAGGGGCCACGGCAGGUCAGUAUGCCCCGAAACUCUGGGGGCCACACGCGGGCUGCAAUGGUAGUGACAAUUGGUUCCGAAUCCGAAAGGAGGGGGUAAUCCCUAAACGCUACCACAGUUAUGACUGAGGGCUGCAACUCGCCCUCACGAAUAUGGAAUCCCUAGUAACUGCGUGUCAUUAUCGCGCGG
rnacentral:rRNA from 1 species